AAAGACCUACGGGACGCAGCAGUGAGGAAUAUUGGUCAAUGGUCGGGAGACUGAACCAGCCAAGCCGCGUGAGGGAUGAAGGUACAGAGUAUCGUAAACCUCUUUUGUCAGGGAACAAAGGCGGGGACGCGUCCCCGGAUGAGUGUACCUGAAGAAAAAGCAUCGGCUAACUCCGUGCCAGCAGCCGCGGUAAUACGGAGGAUGCGAGCGUUAUCCGGAUUUAUUGGGUUUAAAGGGUGCGCAGGCGGACUGUUAAGUCCGCGGUCAAAGCCCGGGGCUCAACCCCGUCCCGCC
rnacentral:rRNA from 1 species